rnacentral:rRNA from 1 species
AGGUUACUGCUAUCGAGGUUCGACUAAGCCAUGCGAGUCGAAUGUAGCAAUACAUGGCGAACUGCUCAGUAACACGUGGACAACCUGCCCUUAGGUUGGGUAUAAACCCGGGAAACUGGGUAUAAUACCCGAUAGGUCUCGAUUGCUGGAAUGCAUCGAGAUUUAAAGCUCCGGCGCCUAAGGAUGGGUCUGCGGCCUAUCAGGUAGUAGUGGGUGUAGCGUACCUACUAGCCUACGACGGGUACGGGUUGUGAGAGCAAGAGCCCGGAGAUGGAUUCUGAGACACGAAUCCAGGCCCUACGGGGUGCAGCAGGCGCGAAAACUUUACAAUGCUGGCAACAGCGAUAAGGGAACCUCGAGUGCCAGGUUACAAAUCUGGCUGUCGAGAUGCCUAAAAAGCAUUUCAUAGCAAGGGCCGGGCAAGACCGGUGCCAGCCGCCGCGGUAACACCGGCGGCUCGAGUGGUAACCGUUAUUAUUGGGUCUAAAGGGUCUGUAGCCGGCCGGAUAAGUCUCUUGAGAAAUCUGGCAGCUUAACUGUCAGGCUUUCAGGAGAUACUGUCUGGCUCGAGGCCGGGAGAGGUGAGAGGUACUUCAGGGGUAGGGGUGAAAUCUUGUAAUCCUUGAAGGACCACCAGUGGCGAAGGCGUCUCACCAGAACGGACCUGACGGCAAGGGACGAAAGCUAGGGGCACGAACCGGAUUAGAUACCCGGGUAGUCCUAGCCGUAAACGAUACUCGCUAGGUGUCGGCCACGGUGCGACCGUUGUCGGUGCCGUAGGGAAGCCGUGAAGCGAGCCACCUGGGAAGUACGGCCGCAAGGCUGAAACUUAAAGGAAUUGGCGGGGGAACACCACAACGGGUGGAGCUUGCGGUUU